AUGAUCAUCUUGCAUUCCGAGUUAUUCCUUACAUUAUGUAUCCUAUGUCGGAAUUUUACCAUCCUGACUAAAUCAUUGUCUUGUUCACCUAGGAUGGUCAACACGCGCGCUAACCCUGCUUCCCAAGAGCAGGCCGAGGGCAGUGAAGGCAGGAAUGAAAAUCUGCCUCAUCCUCCUUCACUAGCCGAGGUUAUGAUGGAAGCUGAGAGAAACAAGCGGGAGACCAACCGUUUAUUGGAGCGUAUUGAACAGAAUACAGCACACCAUCAGAGGGCUAACGUGGUGUCACUCGGUGAUUUUAUCAAAUUGCAUCCACCCACGUUCCAUCACUCCGUCGAGCCUCUCGACGCUGAUGACUGG
rnacentral:rRNA from 1 species